GCCGGUGCAGUGGCUCGUGCCUGUAGUCCCAGCUACUCAGGAGGCUAAGGUGGGAGGAUCACUUGAGCCCAGGAGCUCUAGGCUGUAGUGCGCUAUGCCGAUCGGGUGUCCGCACUAAGUUCAGCAUCAAUAUAGUGACCUCCCAGGAGUGGGCGACCACCAGGUUGCCUAAGGAGGGGUGAACCAGCCCAGGUCUGAAAUGGAGCAGGUCAAAACUCCCGUGCUGAUCAGGAAUCACGCCUGUGAAUAGCCACUGCACUCCAGCCUGGACAACAUAGUGAGAUCCCGUCUCU
rnacentral:SRP_RNA from 1 species